rnacentral:lncRNA from 9 species
GUUUUUCCUAAUUCAGGCAACCUUUCAGAGUCUCAUUUUGACAGUGAAGAAGACUGGUCCACCUGUGUCAUUGACCGGAACUGUGACCCAUGUCUAUGUCUCUAUCAAUGCUUAGCAAGGGGAUAGAACUGCCAUGCAUGACUUGCAUCACUGUGUGGACCACUCCUGAGGUUUCCUACUGCACCCAGAAUUUCUACAAAUAUUUCUUUGUAGAAAAGUAGCACUUUAAGAACAAAGAGGCACCAUAAAACAGCAACAGCGACCCACUGCAGAUUCUCCUCCAAACAGGAAUAUGGCAAAGGCGUGGUUCUGAUCCAGGAAGGGGAAGGAUCCCCAAGGUGAGGAGUGGUUUGAGUUUUUCUUUCUGUCCUGCAUGCCUCAAGCUUAGGAAAAACCAAAACACAGCCUAGUCUUCAGCACUCUGCGUAUACAACGAAUGGCCAAAACUACCAGAGUCAUCCUCAUGGGUAGGUGGAAUAUUAGGAUCCACUGGCUUAAAGCACUGGCCCCAAGCACUGGCCCCAUUUUCCAUUUUCCCUUGGGGUAACUCAGUUUGGUACCCAUCAAAAUCAUUACCACAGACUCUGGGCACGUGGUGUUCUGCUUCCUACUUAAGACCUGAGUCUGGGCUGCCAUCUUUUCCUUUGUUUCCUUCAGCAUAAUUAAAGGAGAAGAUUCUUUGUGACCUCUAACAAUUGAAAAUAAACUCAGUGAACAUAAAGGCCAUAAGAUGGGAGUGGUUUUAGGAGAAUCCACCUUUAAAUUUGCAUGUUUCUCUCCUGCAACACUCCUUUAAGCUACGAGAUUCACAUUUGGACACAAAAGAAGACCUCAAGCCAACUUCUCACUUGAAGCUCAUCAGUUAAAACCUUGGUGCAUGCUGUAGGCAUACCAUGAAAUAUUAUACAACCUUAAAGAAGAAGGAAAUUCUGACACAUGCUACCACGUGGAUAAACCUUGAAGGCAUUAUGCUAAGUAAAAUAAGCCAUUUGUAAAAAGAAAAAACUGCAUGAGUCCACUUACAGGAGCUACCUAUAGCAGUCAAAGUUAUAGGCACAGAAAGUAAAUU